ACACUGCAGGAUGCUAGGAAGGCUGCUGGGCUCCUACCCUUUCUUGCCUCAGGAUGUUAGAUGUUUGACCUUGGCCAGGUGACUGGAUCUCCCUGUGCCUCACUGUCCACAUCUGUAAACAGCCAGGACUGGGGUCAGAAAAAAUGAGCAAAGCCACCUAAUGCAUUUGCAUGGCGUGCCCUGGAGCUGUCUUGGUGCUGGGCAGGGGUUGACCCUUCCUCGUCCUGUGGCCGUGCAGUGUGAUGGGGGCAAGGGGCAGCAGCGAGGCCUGCUUUUAUGGUGCUGACUGUCCAAUGAAAAGGUCGUUGUUGCUUUUUCCUACCAAUGAAGCUGAAGGUCACUUGGGACAACAAGAGAUGCCAGGAGAAGUAGGGACCCGCUGGAGGAGGCAGGCUGGGGCUGAGCAGCCAGGCCUGACAGGUCACAGGGCCUGUGGGUUUAGUUUAUUUUGUCCAUCCAGCGUUGUCCGGGCUUGAAGUAGGUGAGGGAUGUGAUCCAAUAGCUGCUUGAGGAGGGACUCUGACCCCAGCUGGAAUAUCAGUGCUUAGAGGUGCUGGACACCUGUUCCAUGCUGUCAGGUAGGGGUGUGUGUGUGUGUGUGGGUGUAGAGUAAGCUUGAUAAUGGGGAAGCAGCCAUGAGGUCAUCAGAGAAAGAGAUCCCUGAGGUCUGGCCUCAGUAGCUGUGUUGGGGAGGAUGUGUGGGAUGAACUUAGGAAACAAAGAAGUUUGUAUUUUUUUCCAAGAGUGGAUGCGGUAGGCUGGGGGGCUGGGUUUUGGGUCUGAAGGCUCAUGCUCAGACCCUGCCCUCUUGAAAUUUUCUCUCUUGGUGCCACAGAGGAGGCACAGCCAUGUGUUUUCUUCUGUGAGUUGGGCUGCAGGGGUCAGAUAUGGCAUGUCCAUUUCCUGGACUGCAAGAGAGACAGAUGAGGGCAGGGGCAGCCUGGCAGGUGUGGCAGAUUCUGUAAGUAGUAUGAGCAAGGAGCCCUCUGGGCAGCCUGCUUGCCUGGGGAGAUGCAGCUUUAAUGGGUGGGGGUAAGGGAAGAGAGGCAGCCCAGAUGGGGGCUUUCUUCCAAGUGUGGGGGGAGCUGGGGGAGGUCUGUGUGCUUGCUCUUCACCCAGCAUCUCUUGGUGAGCAGUGUGCCUGUGCCAGUGGUGAAAAUCCCAGGCCUGGAGGGGUUCAUGUCAUAGUGGGUGAGACAACCCAG